GGUUUUUAGAGAAGCCAGAGUCGCCGCGGUCCCGGUUCUAAAGUCCUCGCUCACCCACUCGGACUCAGAUUCUCCCCAGACGCCACGGAUGGUGGUCAUGGCGCCCCGAACCCUCCUCCUGCUGCUCUCGGGGGCUCUGGCCCUGACAGAGACCUGGGCGGGCUCCCACUCCAUGAGGUACUUCAGCGCUGCCGUGUCCCGGCCCGGCCGCGGGGAGCCCCGCUUCAUCCCCGUGGGCUACGUGGACAACACGCAGUUCGUGCGGCUCGAUAGCGACGCUGCAAGUCCGAGGAUGGAGCCGCGGGCGCCGUGGGUGGAGCAGGAGGGGCCGGAGUAUUGGGAAGAGGAGACACGGAACAUCAAGGCCCACGCACACACUGACAGAGUGAACCUGCGGACCCUGCGCAGCUGCUACAACCAGAGCCAGGCCGGGUCUCACACCCUCCAGUGGAUGAUUGGUUGCGACCUGGGGCCCCACGGGCGCCUCCUCCGCAGGUGUGAACAGUUCGCCUAAGAUGGCAAGGAUUACCUCGCCCUGAACGAGGACCUGUGCUCCUGAACCGCAGCGGACACUGUGGCUCAGAUCUCCAAGCACAAGUGUGAGGCGGCCAAAGCCACUGAACGAAGGAGAGCCUACCUGGAGGGCACGUGAGUGGAGUGGCUCCACAGAUACCUGGAGAAUGGGAAGGAGAUGCUGCAGCGUGCGGACCACCCCAAUUCACAUGUGACCCACCAUCCUGUCUUUGACUAUGAGGCCACCCUGAGGUGCUGAGCCCUGGGCUUCUACCCUGCGGAGAUCAGACUGACCUGGCAGCGGGAGAGUGAGGACCAGACCCACGACGUGGAGCUCGUGGGAACCAGGCCUGCAGGGGAUGGAACCUUCCAGAAGUGGGCAGCUGUGGUGGUGCCUUCUGGAGAGGAGCAGAGAUUCACGUGCUAUGUGCAGCACCAGGGGCUGCCUGAGCCCCUCAUGCUCAGAUGGAGUAAGGAGGGAGAUGGAGCUGUUGUCACUGAAGCUGUGGUCACUUUUGUGCUGUGGAGGAAGAAGAGCUCAGAUAGAAAAGGAGGGAGCUACUCUCAGGCUGGAAGCAGUGACAGUGUCCAGGGCUCUGAUGUCUCUCACGGCUUGUAAAUGUGAGACCCUGGG